ACCACGGAGAACAAGCACAGCCUUUGUCCCGGGAGCCAGCCUCUCCCGGGCCGCCCAGCUGGGAAGAGGCUGGAGAGAUCCGCCUCUCUCUCACUGUCCUCCCUCACCACUCAGCAGCAGCCUCUGGGGCGAUUUCACCUGGAAACCAGAGGCAAAGGUGGCUUUGCCUUUGAUCUGCAGUUCCCAGCAAUGAAGCAGGGGCAAGCAGAGGCACGGAACAGCCCCUGACCGUGGAUCGCGAGUGUGGGACAAGUCUUCAGGAUGACCAAGCCAUGCCUCAGAUUUUAUAGACAGGAACUCAGAGGUUCAGGCUGGUGAACUAAUUCAAUGAAGAAGCAGUAUUUAUAUAUUAUUCAAA